UACGGAGGGUGCAAACGUUGCUCGGAAUCAUUGGGCGUAAAGCGCACGUAGGUGGCCUGUUAAGACCGAUGUGAAAUCCCCGGGCUUAACCUGGGAACUGCAUUGGUGACUGGCAGGCUUUGAGCGUGGCAGAGGGGGGUAGAAUUCCACGUGUAGCAGUGAAAUGCGUAGAGAUGUGGAGGAAUACCGGUGGCGAAGGCGGUUGGCUGGGCCACAACUGACACUGAUGCGCGACAGCGUGGGGAGCAAACAGG
rnacentral:rRNA from 1 species